rnacentral:lncRNA from 1 species
CAGGUCUUGUUUAGGGACUUUCUCCCACUUAAUAUUUUAAAAUUUUAAUUUUCUGUUUCAAUCAUGUAUGAUCAAUAUAUGCAUGACAAGUACAUGUGGCUUUCUUUCCUAAACUAUAUGGCAUGUUUAUCUCAUGUAUGCAUGACAUGCUAUGGUAAUUUUAUAAUAUUUACAUUCAUUCAUUCAUAAAAAUCAACAUUUUGAUUUUCUACAGUU